CAACCUACCUAUCAGAGGGGAAUAACCCGGCGAAAGUCGGACUAAUACCGCAUAAAACAGGGGCACCGCAUGGUGAUAUUUGUUAAAGAAAUUCGCUGAUAGAUGGGCAUGCGUUCCAUUAGGUAGUUGGUGAGGUAACGGCUCACCAAGCCGACGAUGGAUAGGGGAACUGAGAGGUUGGUCCCCCACACUGGUACUGAGACACGGACCAGACUCCUACGGGAGGCAGCAGUGAGGAAUAUUGGUCAAUGGGCGAGAGCCUGAACCAGCCAAGCCGCGUGAAGGAAGAAGGAUCUAUGGUUCGUAAACUUCUUUUGCAGGGGAAUAAAGUGCAGGACGUGUCCUGUUUUGUAUGUACCCUGAGAAUAAGGAUCGGCUAACUCCGUGCCAGCAGCCGCGGUAAUACGGAGGAUCCGAGCGUUAUCCGGAUUUAUUGGGUUUAAAGGGUGCGUAGGUGGUUUGAUAAGUCAGCGGUGAAAGUUUGCAGCUUAACUGUAAAAAUGCCGUUGAAACUGUCGGACUUGAGUGUAAAUGAGGUAGGCGGAAUGCGUGGUGUAGCGGUGAAAUGCAUAGAUAUCACGAAGAACUCCGAUUG
rnacentral:rRNA from 1 species